rnacentral:lncRNA from 1 species
CCAAAUUGUUAAUUGACAAAUAGAGUGAUACUCAGUACUUUCUAUUACCUUUAAUGAUAAAAUCUCAAAUGAACAAUAUUCAAAGUUCCUUACAUGUAUAUAAGUAGUACAUUUAAUUUUUUUUUUGUGUUUAUUGAUAUAAGAUCUUGAAAUAUUUUUUAACUAGAGUAUUAAAGGAUUGUGUACGAUAUUCGUGUACCUGCUCUACAUUGGCUCCUUUUUAAGGGCAUGUAAAAGUAGUUGAUAGAACCCCUUAAUUUUUUUUUACGAAACACCUCUAUCACAAAGAUCGAAAGUGUAUGUUUGAUUGUUUCGAAAAGACUCCAAUUAGUUUUUUUUAAAUGAAGUAUGGUCUUAUUAUUUAAUAAGCUCGGGAUCACAUAACAUUUUUUGAUAUAUCUGCAGAUGCGGAUACGUCAACGUAUACGAUACGGCUGAUACGUUUGUAAAUGACCGACCUCUA